UUUCUUCUAACAGGUCUACCAAGAGCCCUAUAACCAGCAAGAGGGUUACCAAUAUUAUUGAAUAUAGGACAUAUGAAGUAUUCAAACAUACUGCCUGAGGGCUCUAUGAGGAGCAUAAAUUUCACAUUACUUCUUACUUUGAAGAUUGAUAUACAAAGAAACAGAGUGAAACAUGAAGAAUUUCUGACACUUAUUAAAGGUGGUGCUUCCCUAGACCUUAAAGCUUGUCCUCCUAAGCCAGCUAAUAUGGAUAUGACUUGGUUGAAGUUGGUGGAGCUCAGUAAGCUUGAACAGUUUUCAGAUAUUCUUGAUCAAAUUUCCAGAGAAGAGAAACAGUGGAAAAUCUGGUUUGAUAGUAAGAAUCCCGAAGAAGAAUCGGUUCCUAGUGGCUAUGGUCAAUCUCUGGACUGCUUCAGACUUCUUCUUCUUAUCAGAUCUUGGUGUCCUGACAGGACCAUAGCUCAGACUGAAGAUAGAAACAUAUUGUGUUUCCAUGGGCCAGGGGCAAGGAAUCCAUGCUCGUAAACUUCUAC